rnacentral:tRNA from 1 species
GGAGGUAUGGCUCAGUGGUAAAGCACUUGCCUAGCAUGCAGGAGGCCCUGGGUCUGUCUCCC